GGGCCUGCGUCUCAUUAGCUAGUUGGUAGGGUAAUGGCCUACCAAGGCAACGAUGAGUAGCUGGUCUGAGAGGAUGAUCAGCCACACUGGAACUGAAACACGGUCCAGAYUCCUACSGGAGGUUCCUCC
rnacentral:rRNA from 1 species